rnacentral:rRNA from 1 species
CGGCCGCAAGGUUAAAACUCAAAUGAAUUGACGGGGGCCCGCACAAGCGGUGGAGCAUGUGGUUUAAUUCGAUGCAACGCGAAGAACCUUACCUACUCUUGACAUCCAGAGAAUUUGCUAGAGAUACCUUAGUGCCUUCGGGAACUGUGAGACAGGUGCUGCAUGGCUGUCGUCAGCUCGUGUUGUGAAAUGUUGGGUUAAGUCCCGCAACGAGCGCAACCCUUAUCCUUUGUUGCCAGCGAUUCGGUCGGGAACUCAAAGGAGACUGCCGGUGAUAAACCGGAGGAAGGUGGGGAUGACGUCAAGUCAUCAUGGCCCUUACGAGUAGGGCUACACACGUGCUACAAUGGCGUAUACAAAGAGAAGCGACCUCGCGAGAGCAAGCGGACCUCAUAAAGUACGUCGUAGUCCGGAUUGGAGUCUGCAACUCGACUCCAUGAAGUCGGAAUCGCUAGUAAUCGUAGAUCAGAAUGCUACGGUGAAUACGUUCCCGGGCCUUGUACACACCGCCCGUCACACCAUGGGAGUGGGUUGCAAAAGAAGUAGGUAGCUUAACCUUCG